rnacentral:lncRNA from 1 species
CAGUAAGAACACUCAUGUCAUUCUUAAGUUAACUAAUUGGCAAAUUCCUAUUUAUCAGAAGAAAAUUAACAAUAAAAUCAGCCAAUCUCGUACCACACAACGAUGGGCUCCGGGGACAGCAUAAACAAAGUGUAAAAAGCCUGAGACUUACACUGUAAAGUCUUAUUAUUAAACUAUAAAGUCUUAAGAAUAAUGUCUAAAUAAGUACAUUUCAUAUUCCUCUUUCUUGAAGUGCUUCUCGCAAACAUACAACGUCCCAUUUUUUGAUUUGCCUUCGCAAAUUUUCAUCCACUACGCGGUCCUUUGUAAUUAUGUUGCUCCACGCUUCACGAGUUUUCGUUGAUAAUGCGUCUUUUCCUGAAGGGAUCCGAAAACUUCCAACUCCAGCACUAUUUCGACAUGUACCACAGCCGAUAUGGAGCAAUUCGCUCCCGGCAUCGCGGAAAAUUCAAUGAAAUUUAAUGUUUUUAGGCUCUGUUUGGCUUAAACUAUUAUACUAUCGUAUAUGUAAACACCUCGAAGCAUGCACUAUAAGUUCCACGUGACCGAGAACAAUAAGUUAUUUUGUCACGUGAUCCGGCCUUCCAAACCCUCUCAUUAUAUUAACUAUGG